AACUAGUAGGAAUUAUUCAUUUCCAAGUCCAUAAUUAACUAACUUCCGAUCAUAUAUAAAGUUACUGAAAUUAAAUUCAAAAUCCCUUAUUCCAAAAACGAAUCCGUAUACCGUAUGCAGUCAUUUUUUCUUUUUAACUUUCCGGGCCCACCGAGAGCCAUUAAUUUGAUGUAAUUAAUUAACACCCUAAGGUAAAAAUUAAGGGAUCAUGUCCAGAGUGGGUCCCACGACGCGGUCAAAUUGUUGUCUUCCAGAAAACAUGAUGUGUCCAUCGACUGCAGCUGGUACUGCCCGUUGGGGAAGAAUAUGGAUGGUGGCUCCUCAGCAUGAGACGACGCCGUUUGAAUCAUCUCCAUGUAAAAUCCCACCAAGCUGGCUUGCUGAGAUUGCAUAUUCACAACCUCGGCUCGCGCCUUGGCGA
rnacentral:lncRNA from 1 species